AGUGAACGCUGGCGGCGUGCCUAACACAUGCAAGUCGAACGAUGAUGGAGAGCUUGCUCUCCUGAUUAGUGGCGCACGGGUGAGUAAUGCAUAGAUAAUGUGCCCCUUAGUUCGGGAUAGCCGCUGGAAACGGUGCUUAAUACCGGAUACUCCUUCUGGUCUCAAGGCAAGUCGGGAAAGUUUUUUCGCUAAGGGAUCAGUCUAUGUUCCAUCAGGUAGUUGGUGAGGUAAUGGCUCACCAAGCCUAUGACGGAUAUCUGGUUUGAGAGGAUGAUCAGACACACUGGAACUGAGACACGGUCCAGACUCCUACGGGAGGCAGCAGUGAGGAAUAUUGCACAAUGGAGGAAACUCUGAUGCAGCAACGCCGCGUGGAGGAUGACGCAUUUCGGUGUGUAAACUCCUUUUAUUAGGGAAGAUAAUGACGGUACCUAAUGAAUAAGCACCGGCUAACUCCGUGCCAGCCGCCGCAGUAA
rnacentral:rRNA from 1 species